GAUGAACGCUAGCGGCAGGCCUAACACAUGCAAGUCGAGGGGGAAGUUACUUUCGGGUGACUGAGACCGGCGUACGGGUGCGUAACGCGUAUACAAUCUGCCUUUCACUGGGGGAUAGCCCGAAGAAAUUUGGAUUAAUACCCCAUAGUAUAUAGGGACGGCAUCGUUUUUAUAUUAAAGCUUAGGUGGUGAAAGAUGAGUAUGCGUUCUAUUAGCUAGUUGGAGGGGUAACGGCUCCCCAAGGCGAUGAUAGAUAGGGGUUCUGAGAGGGAUGUCCCCUACACUGGUACUGAGAUACGGACCAGACUCCUACGGGAGGCAGCAGUGAGGAAUAUUGGACAAUGGUCGGAAGACUGAUCCAGCCAUGCCGCGUGCAGGAUGAAGGUCUUAUGGAUUGUAAACUGCUUUUGUAAGGGAAGAAUAAGGGCUACGCGUAGUUUGAUGACGGUACCUUACGAAUAAGCAUCGGCUAACUCCGUG
rnacentral:rRNA from 1 species